UCCUGUCUUGAGAUUCCCGGACAUCCCAGGUGAUCCUAGGACCAGGAGGCAGAAGCCAAAGAUGCCCCUCUCUGCAGGUGAGGACACGGUGGCCCAGCCUUGACUUGUCCGUCUUAGCGCCCUGAAGGGAAGCUCCGGGUACUGCAGUUUCCCACGGGACUCCCAGCACUGCCCGCAGUGUCCGGCUCCAGGAGGCACUCGGUGCGUCCUCUGUCCACAGAGUGAAGUGUGGUGGAGGUGGAAUGCGGCAUGGACUCUCUAACACCGGCACCCCUGCCGUUCGCCAUUUGCUGUAGCUUUCUCCCAGUUUGGUGCUGCGCUCCAGAACUGACUCACUGAAGAUUUGCUGUUGGACUGAUCCACACUGUAUGUCUUCUGAAGGCUUGUUUCCAGUCUAAGAAUUCUGAGCUGAGGGAUGUUCUUUCUCCCUGACAGCCUCCC
rnacentral:lncRNA from 1 species